CUUUAGCUCAUGUUUCAAAAGUUACACAGGUGACACCUUAUGAGUGUAGCUUUUGUGUUUCUAGGAGACAACUCCAGCAAACUACCUGAUCUUCUGGCUCCUACAGGCUUUCUAGCACUUCUUCUGCACAAGCCUUCACCUCUACAUAAAGCAGUAUAGAAAUGAGGAAACCCAGGUGCAUAGGUGGUCUAACACUUGCGAACUUGGCAAUUUCGUUUGGUCUUCCAGUGUCAAAAGAAUGAAUGGCUUCAGAAGACCUUUGUACACUCACUUGAAUAUCUACCACCCCUUCUAAAUACUGGCAUGUAACUUUGACUGAUUCUACAUGACCAUUGUGGAAAAAUGAGAGUAUACAAUCUGAGAAAGCCUAAGGAAAUGUGGCUUUAUAUUCUUAGCUUCAGGGAAGACAUAAAACAUGAACCUCCCAUAUACCUGCGCUGGCUGGUAUGGUUGUAUUUAACAG
rnacentral:lncRNA from 1 species